UUUCAAUUCACAGGUCGAUCAACUAACUACGUACAACCUCUAACUCCGGAAGAUUUACCCUCCGGGCGUUCGGAAAUCCAAUUCAAUAAUUAUUGCCCCGCACCAAUGCAUGUCGUUGGUGAAACGAUAACGGUCUGCAAUAAAACCCCACGCCAACGUCCUCCAGAAAUCAUCGACCCGCCUUAUACGCAGAUCACACCAGUGGAUGUCCAGUG